CGCUCUGUUGGCCUAAGUGGUUAGAUUGUCCGCUUUGGAUGCGGGAGGUCACGGGUUCGAACACCGCCUGAGUCA